AUGACCACGAAUUUCUUCAAAAAUCUGUACACCAAAGAAGAAGGGCUUAAUCCCAAAGUCAUUGUGAACUGUCUUACCGAAAGAGUGACAAAUGAUAUGAACUCAUCGCCGCUCAAGGAAUUCUCAGAAAAGGAAGUUAGCGAUGCGCUGUUUCAAAUUGGACCUCUCAAAGCGCCCGGUCCUGACGGCUUCCCGGCUAGGGUUUUUCAAAGGAAUUGCAGUACGGUCAAGAAGGACGUGGUGAAUGCGGUUCUAAAUUUUUUCAGGGAGGGUGUCAUGCGAGAGGGAACCAACGAUACAAUCAUUGUGCUUAUACCCAAUAAAAACAACCUAGGGCACUUGAAAGACUUCCAUCCCAUAAGCCUGUGUAAUGUGGUCUACAAGGUUAUCUCGAAAUGCAUGGUAAACCGCCUGGGACCCAUUUUGGAUGAUCUUAUUUCAGAGACACAAAGUGCCUUCAUCCUAGGGCGUUUGACUACGGACAACACUACUAUUGCAUUUGAGUGUUUCCAUAAGAUCCAACAUAGCAAACAGGCUGCUAACACCCAUUGUGCUUUCAACUUGGAUUUGGCGAAAGCGUACGACAGGGUGUACUGGGGUUUCUUGGAAGAGGCCCUGUUGAAGCUUGGUUUCAAUCGCAAAUGGGUGGAUUGGGUGAUGUGUUGUGUGAAAUCUGUGAGGUAUUCUAUUAAAUACAAUGGUGAGCUCCUUGAUACCUUCGCCCCCUCUAGAGGACUUCAGCAGGGUGACCCGCUAAGCCCUUACCUUUUCCUUUUCGUUGCGGAGGGACUAACCUGUCUGUUGGACACAGAGAUUUGGUCUGGAAUUAUAACUCCCAUUAAAAUUGCUAGGGGUUGCCCUAGGACUUCAAAUCUACUAUUCACCGACGACAACCUUCUCUUUUUCAAAGCUUCAGUAGAGGAGGCCGAGAGGGUGAAACAAGUCCUAAUUGAUUUCCAAAAGGGCUCGGGACAGCUUCUCAGUUUUAGCAAGUGUUCUUUACUUUUCAGUGAGUUGUGCCCAGUGGAGGUCCAAAAAGAAAUCAAAAGGGUGCUUGAUAUCACGUCCUCGUCCUUUGAAAGCUAGUAUUUAGGACUUCCCACGCCAGAAGGACGUAUGAAAGAUUCCAUGUUCCAACCUAUCAUGGAGAGAUUCAUCAAGGGAUGCUUAGAUUGGUUUGAAAGAUUUAUGUCACAUGCAACGAAAGAGCUUCUAGUUAAGUCAGCCCUCCAAGCCCUCCCAACUUACUGCAUGGGGGUCUUCAAAAUGACCAAGGGUUUCUGCGAGAGAUACGAGAAACUGAUAUGGGACUUCUGGUGGGGCGAUUAAAAUGGCCACAGGAAAGAUCAUUGGAUGUCCUGGGAGCGCAUGAUAAAGCCAAAAAGAGGAGGAGGCAUCGGUUUUAAAGAUAUGAAGCUCUUCAACCAAGCUCUGCUCGCACGACAAGCCUGGAGGUUGAUUCAAAGGCCGGAUACCUUGUGCGCAAGAAUUCUUAAAUCCAAGUACUACCCGUUUGGUGAGCUAUUGGAUAUGGUGUUUGCAACGAAUGCCUCUCCGGUUUGGCGGGGAAUUGAACAUGGGCUUGAGCUUCUC
rnacentral:rRNA from 1 species